rnacentral:lncRNA from 1 species
GAUCUGCAGGGCAUGCGGGUGCCUACUGUUUCAAACCUUUAGGAAAGGAUGGAAAGCCUGGUUUUUUCAUCAUGAUGUCUAUUGUUCUACUAAAUUUCUUAAUUGGAUCUUCUUUUAGCUUUCCUUAAAGAUUUGAAACAGCAUGCAUAUGUAUGCCCUUGUCUGUUUGCAUACAUCAAAACACACAGAUAGCUAGUCAAAGCCAGACCAAUAAUAGAAAGAGUUCCCCUCUUUAUCACAGAGAAUAAGUUUCAAAAUGGAUCAUCAGUAAGAUGCAAGACUAUUUGUGUACCUGCAGUUCAGCUUAUGACUUUCUCCAAGACCUAAAAAAACUCAAACCAAAGCAAGAACACACAAUGACAAUGAUAGACUUUGUAACACUAUCCCUCAGUGAAUCUACUUGCAGCUUGCUACAUAAGUUUAUGCUCCAGAACUUUGAAAAUGACACAGUUACACCAGAGGCCAUAAGAGAACUAGUCCACACUGUUUGUUAUGAGUCAUUUUUCCCAAUUUGGAUAUCAAUAUUAUAAACAGAAAGAGUGCAUGCCAAUAGGUAGCUCCUUAGCAGGGCCUUUAGUAGAAUUGAUCAAAAGAGACAAAGAAAGAUAAUAGAUACAUCUAAACAAAGUUAUAUCUUAUAUAGAAAAUAUGAAGAUGAACUGUUGAUUAUAUGGAGAAAUAACACUAAGAUUGAGGAAUUUCAGAAAGCCUUUAUGGAUAGAAAUUAUGACCUUAAGUUAAAGUUAGACUAAAAAAAGUGCCUCAAAAGUCCAUUAUCUAUAUAUAAAAAUUAGUAAGGUAACAGCCAGCUAUAACACUAGAGUUUACCAAAAGCCCAAUAUAAGAAGAAUAAUACCUAGAUAGUCUCCAGACCUCUCUACAAGAAGGCAGUAUUCAGGACAUACUUUAAGAGGGUCUUAUAUCACAGUGGUACAGUCAAGUCCUUAAAAGAAAUGAUAGGAAGAAUAUACAAGGUGGGACUUAGAUAUAUAUAUAUAAAACCUUACAUCAGGACAAUACAGAAAAAAGUAGAGAAGAAUAUUAGAGAAGCUUUUAGUACAGAUAUAGAUAGAAAAAAUAUAGAAAGACCAGAGGAAACUCGGAUGGGGAGUCCAUCAUUUAUUAUAUGUCAAAAAAUAAUGCAAUCAGAAAGGCCAUUAAGAGGCACAAUGGAAAACCAGUAGUACAGAGAGAAUAACAAAUGUUGUCUUUGACAUAUUGAGGAAUAACAAAGAUGAUCCAAUAAAAACUGAAAAAUCUGGAGUAUAUACCAUGCUGAUAGUAGAUAUAGAAACAGGAGACAAUGAGGAAUAUAUAGGAAAUGCCUG